rnacentral:rRNA from 1 species
UUUUAGAAAUUAAUUUAAAGUCUAACCUGCCCACUGAAAAUUUAAAUGGCCGCAGUAUUCUAACUGUGCAAAGGUAGCAUAAUCAUUAGUCUUUUAAUUGAAGGCUGGAAUGAAUGGUUGAAUGAAAUAUUAACUGUUUCAUAAAAAUUUAUAUUAUAAUUUUAUUUUUUAGUUAAAAAGCUAAAAUAUAAUUAAAAGACGAGAAGACCCUAUAAAUCUUUAUAUUUAAAUAAUUUUAAUUAUUUAGAUAAAUUAAAUUAUGAUUAUUUUAAAUAUUUUAUUGGGGUGAUAUUAAAAUUUAAUAAACUUUUAAUUUAAAUUUUACAUUAAUUAAUGAAUUAUUGAUCCAUUUAUUAUGAUUAAAAAAUUAAGUUACUUUAGGGAUAACAGCGUAAUUUUUUUAGAGAGUUCAUAUUGAUAAAAA